rnacentral:rRNA from 1 species
GACGAACCGUGCGAACGUUGUCCGGAUUUAUUGGGCGUAAAGAGCGUGUAGGCGGCCAGGUAGGUCUGCUGUGAAAACUCGAGGCUCAACCUCGAGACGUCGGCGGAAACCAUCUGGCUAGAGUCCGGAAGAGGAGAGUGGAAUUCCUGGUGUAGCGGUGAAAUGCGCAGAUAUCAGGAAGAACACCCGUGGCGAAGGCGGCUCUCUGGGACGGUACUGACGCUGAGACGCGAAAGCGUGGGGAGCGAACAGG